UUGGGCAAGUCUGGUGCCAGCAGCCGCGGUAAUUCCAGCUCCAAUAGCGUAUAUUAAAGUUGUUGCAGUUAAAAAGCUCGUAGUUGAAUUUCGGGGUCAGUAGGUUGGUCGUGCCACCGGUACGUACUGGUCUCACUGAUUCCUCCUUCCUGAUGAGCUGUAAUGCCAUUAAUUUGGNGNUGCAGGGAAUCUGGACUGUUACUUUGAAAAAAUUAGAGUGUUUAAAGCAGGCUAACGCUUGAAUACAUUAGCAUGGAAUAAUGAAAUAGGACGUUCGAUCCUAUUUUGUUGGUUUCUAGGAUUGACGUAAUGAUUAAUAGGGAUAGUUGGGGGCAUUAGUAUUCAAUUGUCUGAGGUGAAAUUCUUGGAUUUAUUGAAGACUAACUACUGCGAAAGCAUUUGNCAAGGAUGUUUUCAUUAAUCAAGAACGAAAGUUAGGGGAUCGAAGACGAUCAGAUACCGUCGUAAUCUUAACCAUAAACUAUGCCGACUAGGGAUCGGAUGAUGUUAAUUUUUUAAUGACUCAUUCGGCGCCUUACGGGAAAC
rnacentral:rRNA from 1 species